CUGUUGCGAAAAAUAAGAGAUGGUUAGUUCUCCCCUUGACAAGGAGAAGAGAAAUCAUUUGAUCUUUGUAAUGCAUAUGGGCAUUGCUCUCUACUUCAGGGCAACCUAUUUUU
rfam:Octopus bimaculoides Scaffold115512_contig_22, whole genome shotgun sequence.